rnacentral:rRNA from 1 species
AUACGGGGGGUGCAAGCGUUAAUCGGAAUUACUGGGCGUGAAGCGCGCGUAGGCGGUUUGCUCAGUCGGAUGUGAAAGCCCAGGGCUCAACCUUGGAACUGCAUACGAUACUGGCAAACUAGAGUGUGAGAGAGGAUAGUGGAAUUUCCGGUGUAGCGGUGAAAUGCGUAGAUAUCGGAAGGAACAUCAGUGGCGAAGGCGACUGUCUGGCUCAACACUGACGCUGAGGUGCGAAAGCGUGGGUAGCAAACAGGAUUAGAAACCCUAGUAGUCC